UAUGUCAACAUUGGUACGGAUUAUAUUAAGUUUUGUUAUAUAAAUUUCUGUAUAAGUAAUCGAAAACAUUAUUUUACAGUAUUAUUCAGUUUUUAGCAAGAUGUCAGCAACCAGAUGGUGGAUUUGGAGGUGGACCUGGACAGCAGAGUCAUCUGGCACCCACAUAUGCUGCAGUCAAUGCUCUUUGUAUUCUUGGUACAGAAGAAGCUUAUGAAGUAAUUGAUAGGGAGAAACUCCAACAGUUUCUAUAUCAAAUGAAAAAUCCAGAUGGAUCAUUUUCUCUUCACAAAGACAGUGAAAUUGAUGUCAGGGGAGCUUACUGUGCUCUGGCCGUGGCGAGACUGACAAAUAUUUAUACUCCAGAAUUAUUUGAAGGAACAGCUGACUGGGUCAGUCGGUAAGUAAUUUUUCCAUCC